rnacentral:tRNA from 1 species
UUCCUUGUAGCUCAGUUGGUAGAGCAUGGUGUUUGCAACGCCAGGGUUGUGGGUUCGAUUCCCACGGGGGGAC